AUUGAACGCUGGCGGCAUGCCUUACACAUGCAAGUCGAACGGCAGCACGGGUGCUUGCACCUGGUGGCGAGUGGCGAACGGGUGAGUAAUACAUCGGAACGUACCUUAUCGUGGGGGAUAACGCAGCGAAAGUUGCGCUAAUACCGCAUACGCCCUGAGGGGGAAAGCGGGGGACCGUAAGGCCUCGCGCGAUUAGGGCGGCCGAUGUCUGAUUAGCUUGUUGGUGAGGUAAAAGCUCACCAAGGCGAUGAUCAGUAGCUGGUCUGAGAGGACGAUCAGCCACACUGGGACUGAGACACGGCCCAGACUCCUACGGGAGGCAGCAGUGGGGAAUUUUGGACAAUGGGGGCAACCCUGAUCCAGCAAUGCCGCGUGAGUGAAGAAGGCCUUCGGGUUGUAAAGCUCUUUUGUCAGGGAAGAAACAGCAGCUCUAACACAGUCUGCGAAUGACGGUACCGUAAGAAUAAGCACCGGCUAACUACGUGCCAGCCGCCGCCGUAA
rnacentral:rRNA from 1 species